rnacentral:rRNA from 1 species
UACGAAGGGGGCUAGCGUUGCUCGGAAUCACUGGGCGUAAAGGGCGCGUAGGCGGACUUUUAAGUCGGAGGUGAAAGCCCAGGGCUCAACCCUGGAAUUGCCUUCGAUACUGGGAGUCUUGAGUUCGGAAGAGGUUGGUGGAACUGCGAGUGUAGAGGUGAAAUUCGUAGAUAUUCGCAAGAACACCGGUGGCGAAGGCAGCCAACUGGUCCGAAACUGACGCUGAGGCGCGAAAGCGUGGGGAGCAAACAGG